rnacentral:tRNA from 1 species
GUCAGGAAGGCCGAGCGGUCUAAUGCACUGCGUUAAAGUUGCAGUCUCCUCUGGAGGCGUUGGCUCAAAUCCCACUUCUGACA